AUGAGGGCUUAUUAUCAAAGAUACGAGGAUAUAAAAGAAACAUCACAACUAAUUAUUAGUACAUUUAUAAAACAUUUAAUACUAUUGCUGUAUCAUUUUCGUCGUAACGAACAUAAAUGCAUUCUCGACAUUAAGUGUGACCAUUAACAACAAAAUAAAGUAAAACUAGCGUUUCAUACGAGGAAAUAAAAUGUUCCUCUCGAACUGUGAUACAUAAGGCAUUUUAGCAUUAAAAGAAAGCUAUAAGACUUAAAUAAGACGUACCGAGAUACAAACUGAAUAUUUAUUACAACGAAUAAUGAUGUAGUGACAAUGGGGGUAUUACUGCAAUGUUCUGCCAUAUAGUAAACCAUAGAGUAACUUAUACAUACUGUGCCUUAAACUGUUUUUUGACAAGUUUUCACAGACAAUAAAUGACAUUGAUGCAUCAAGGCGGUUUGUUAACGUGGGCCUACCGGGAAAAGCGAAAAUUUUAAUUUAGUUUUCUGCCUCUUUAUCGCUCGAAUAAGCAAGAGAGGUUAGAUAACGAAAUUUCGAUUUUCUUGUUUCGCGGUAGACCCCCAGAUUGUGACGGAUAGUGGUAGUGGCGCCUCCUACGCAGAGUUACGCGUAAUAUUCCCUAUUUAAUUAGGUCUAAAUACAUUUAGUCUACGAGUAUUUCCUGUCUUUGCCAACCAUCAAACUUGAAUCAUUUUAAAAGAAGACAAAAAAGUAUUUUCACCCAACACUACAAAUUCUAAUAUUCGAAAUGUUUUGACAGACGACUUAGCGAGUAAGUAAUAAAUAUCCACCUUAGGGUGGUAUUCCACCCGUCCAAUUUCUUUGUCCAAUGUGUCUCACUCUCUCAGUAAGCAAAAUGUGAACCAAAAUAAAAAUUGAACAAAGAAAUUGGAUAGAUGGAAUACCACCCAUAGAUACUCUCACCGUAGGACUGGUUAUGUUGCCAGUGUCAAAAAUGGAACUUUAUGGACUGCCAUAUUAAUAGUUGUUGGAUGAGUGAUAUGAAAUGACGAAGGGCCUCCUGCCCUCCCACACCGGCAAUACAACUAGCACUCCUUAAUAACACUUUAGAGCACACGGCGACUUACAGCAAACCAUUAAGUAGCUCGUUUUGAAAACGCUCUAUUGCUUUUUUUUACCAGU